UACGGGGGGGGCAAGCGUUGUUCGGAAUUACUGGGCGUAAAGGGUUUGUAGGUGGCUGAUUAAGUCAGACGUGAAAUCCCUCAGCUUAACUGGGGAACUGCGUCUGAUACUGGUUAGCUUGAGUGCAGGAGAGGAACGCGGAAUUCCAGGUGUAGCGGUGAAAUGCGUAGAUAUCUGGAGGAACACCGGUGGCGAAGGCGGCGUUCUGGACUGCAACUGACACUGAAAAACGAAAGCCAGGGGAGCAAACGGG
rnacentral:rRNA from 1 species